rnacentral:misc_RNA from 1 species
UUCAUUGUUGAAUAUUAAACUAAAAGGCACUUAAAUGAUAACAAAGCUCCAGGUUCGAGGUGCUUUAAUAUACGAUAAUUCAAACUGUUGUUUCAACAUUGUUUUAACACUUAAACAUUUCUUUUUGUUAAUGUAAGUUUUAAAAAUGACACUAUAAUGUUAAUUACACAACUAAUUUUAAAAGUUAUGAGUGGUGGAUAACGGUAGAAUCCUGCGUUCUCAAAAUCCAAAUAAAAUAAUGCUAAAAUACCAACCUCAUUAAACUCAUUACCCAUAAUUGAAAGGAAAUUUAAUGUGAGGGGAAAUGAAAGUGCCCCCUCCCCCAAAUAAAAAAGAUUGAACAGAGUAAAAAAAAGAAAAUAAAUAAUAAAAGUACAUGUAAUUAAUUUUUUUUUAAAAAAAUCUCAAUUUGAAAAACAUAAUUCUUUCAAAAGGUAUGAUGUUUCAAAGCCAAGAUAUUGUGAUUUUCAUCAAAACUUUUCAGCGUUUUUUUUGUUGUUGCAUUAUUCCUGCAUUGAUUUGGUACCAGUAGGUAAGUUUUGAUUUUGAUAUGCAAUGAGAGCCUUAAAAAAAUAAAACAAAAAAGAAAAUGGUCCUUAUUUUAUCAAGUUGCUUUAUGAUGAAAUUGUUGUUUCCUUCCUACCAGAACACAGAAACAUGCCAAUAGAAGAUGCAAUAACUCUGGUUGGACGCAGCUUUGAAACCUACAUGCAAACAGCUCGAGAAAAAGCCGCUCCUCCAGUGGCUGCACCUCCACCCGAGAGAGGUGCCGCCCCCACCCCCCCUGCUGCUAGAGCCCCACCCCCCUUUGUACCCCCAGGACCCGAUAUAUCUUAUCUGUUAAACUUGCUAGCUGACAAUCGUCAGUUAACAAUAGAAGAAAUAGACAAAGUUAUAGGGUACCUUAGGGAGAGAAGAGAUAAAUUAUUUGAUACUGAAGGAAGGAGACUGCCAGAAGCUGGUAAUUUUUUUGUUUGGUUUUAUAUCAGUUUAUGAUUGAGUCUACUGAGAAUGAGACUCAUGUAAAAUAUCACAUUUUAUAGUUUAGACAAUCUCAGAACUCUUAAGUUGAUGAAUUAAACGACAUUUUUAGGAUAUGGUGUUGGUGACUUGAGGAAAGAAGACAAUAAUCUUCAGCAGCAGCAACAAGAGCUUCAAGCCAAAAUCCUGAGUAUUCUAAAUGGUCCUGGUGAUUCUGGAAUCUCCCAGGCUCCCAAACCUUCCCCAGGGAUGGGCAAUGGGGCCCCCCUAGGAGGUGGCCAGCCAGGAAUGUCCUCAUUGAUCAACUUCGAUAACCCACACGUUCAGAAGGCGCUAGACAACCUGAUUCAAAGUGGCCCAAAUUUGUUGAAGAACAUCUCCUCCACACCUGGAAUCAAGCCAGUGUCUGCUGGACUGAUGAGUCGAGAGGGUGAGCCAAUGAGAAGAGAGGGUCCCGGAGGUGGGUAUGGAAGUAUGCCAGGUAACGCCCCCAUGCAGCAGAUUCGAGGUCAAGGUGGACCAGGGGGUCAACAGCCAGCACAGAGGCCCAUGUACGGGAGUGGCCCUGGGGGAGCCCCCCUCAGACCAGGGGGUCCUGGACAGAUUCGGUACUGAAGUUCCGCCAGAGCUAUAAUUUCCAUUAUUCAUUUAUCAUGUUUUAAUAAAGUAUCAGUGGUUGUGGUAUACUUAUGUACCCAUCCAUGAAGACAUUUUUAACCCAUUUAAAGUUUGUGCUAAAAACAUUUAUUAGAUGACCAUUUCAUCAUGUUCAUUAUGUGUGCAGAUUAAAAAAAAGGGAUUGACAAUAAAUCA